UUGUCUCAAAGAUUAAGCCAUGCAUGUCUCAGUACAAGCCGAAUUAAGGUGAAACCGCGAAAGGCUCAUUAAAUCAGUUAUGGUUCCUUAGAUCGUACCCACAUUUACUUGGAUAACUGUGGUAAUUCUAGAGCUAAUACAUGCAAACAGAGCUCCGACCGGAGACGGAAGGAGCGCUUUUAUUAGAUCAAAACCAAUCGGCGGCGGGUCCGCCCGCUCGUCGUACACCUUGGUGAAUCUGAAUAACUUUCUGCUGAUCGCAUGGUCUCGCACCGGCGACGCAUCUUUCAAAUGUCUGCCUUAUCAACUGUCGAUGGUAGGUUCUGCGCCUACCAUGGUUGUAACGGGUAACGGGGAAUCAGGGUUCGAUUCCGGAGAGGGAGCCUGAGAAACGGCUACCACAUCCAAGGAAGGCAGCAGGCGCGCAAAUUACCCACUCCCGGCACGGGGAGGUAGUGACGAAAAAUAACGAUACGGGACUCAUCCGAGGCCCCGUAAUCGGAAUGAGUACACUCUAAAUCCUUUAACGAGGAUCAAUUGGAGGGCAAGUCUGGUGCCAGCAGCCGCGGUAAUUCCAGCUCCAAUAGCGUAU
rnacentral:rRNA from 1 species